UGGGGAAUAUUGCACAAUGGAGGGAACUCUGAUGCAGCGACGCCGCGUGAACGAAGAAGGCUUUCGAGUCGUAAAGUUCUUUUAUAUGGGAAGAUAAUGACGGUACCAUAAGAAAAAGCCCCGGCUAACUACGUGCCAGCAGCCGCGGUAAUACGUAGGGGGCUAGCGUUGUCCGGAAUCACGGGGCGUAAAGGGUUCGCAGGCGGAAAUGCAAGUCAGGUGUAAAAGGCAGUAGCUUAACUACUGUAAGCAUUUGAGACUGCAUAUCUUGAGAAGAGUAGAGGUAAGUGGAAUUUUUAGUGUAGCGGUGAAAUGCGUAGAUAUUAAAAAGAAUACCGGUGGCGAAGGCGACUUGCUGGGCUCAUUCUGACGCUGAGGAACGAAAGCGUGGGUAGCAAACAGG
rnacentral:rRNA from 1 species